CCUACGGGGGGCAGCAGUAAGGGAUAUUGGUCAAUGGGGGAAACCCUGAACCAGCAACGCCGCGUGAGGGAAGACGGUUUUCGGAUUGUAAACCUCUGUCCUCUGUGAAGAUGAUGACGGUAGCAGAGGAGGAAGCUCCGGCUAACUACGUGCCAGCAGCCGCGGUAAUACGUAGGGAGCGAGCGUUGUCCGGAUUUACUGGGUGUAAAGGGUGCGUAGGCGGCUUGGCAAGUCAGUAGUGAAAUCCAUGGGCUUAACCCAUGAACUGCUAUUGAAACUGUCGAGCUUGAGUGAAGUAGAGGUAGGCGGAAUUCCCGGUGUAGCGGUGAAAUGCGUAGAGAUCGGGAGGAACACCAGUGGCGAAGGCGGCCUACUGGGCUUUAACUGACGCUGAGGCACGAAAGCGUGGGUAGCAAACAGGAUUAGAUACCCCAGUAGU
rnacentral:rRNA from 1 species